UUUCCUCGAGGAACUGCAGCAUGGAGCUCCUUCAGCAGCCCACGACACUCUGGAACACCUCUAAUUAUUAGGAAGUUUUUGCUAUAUCAAGCCUAAAUUUGUUCCCCUGAAACUUCUACCCAUUCUUCCUGGUCCUUCCUUCUGGAGCCAAAAAGAAUAAGUCUAAUCCCCUUCCACAGGACAACCCUUCAGGGUUGUGGUGAGGAAAGGGCUCUGUAUGCUGGAAGGUACUACAGAAAUGUGAGCUAUAGGUCCCUGUGACAGUCUAGAUUCUGAGUUGCAUAACCCUGGGGCACGACAGUCCAGUCAAGAGCCUCAGAGGCAAACAACCAACAGUUGUGACCACUCAUUUCAGCCAGACUCCUGGAUUACCGUGAAGAACUUGCCGACCUUUCUGGCGUGGAAGGCUAGAGAGAGGUCCUACCUACCUCAUUGUGCCAUCGGAUGACGUUUCCAAAUCCCCCAGUUCCAAGCCGUUCUUUCAUUUCCCAGGGCCCACAAGUCUGCAUCUGAAGAGAAGGUGGCCAGCUCAUUCUGAAGACGUUAUUGCUGUGGGAAUUCAGAGGAGGAGGGUGAGAGGAAGAAAAAGAAGACCCCUUGGAGAGAUGGAACGCUACAGGGGAUUCCUGCCUUUGGGUGCCACAUGGCGGUGGACGGGCAGGCUCUUAAAGGGGCCACAGGGACCGAGCAGGCCUUCAGCUCCUGGCUUCUCAUGUUCUAGGCUGGACAUCCUAUGCAUCCCUCCAACCCACCUGGCUCUUUCCAAGGUGGACCCCAGCUCCCAGGAUUUCUCGAGAAGAUGUAUGUUGUUCUAAAAAUUAAAAAACAAAAUAAAACAAAAAACACAA